rnacentral:lncRNA from 1 species
UUCUCAAGAAAAUAAGUUGUCCAAGGUGGUAGUCUUAUAUUUGAAAAUGAACAAGUAUAUAUAUGCUUGUAUGAUAUUUCAUUUUAAUUACUAAAAUUAAGUUGCUCGAUUUGCUUAAGAGUGACAAUUAAUUUUGUACAGGACCUUUGUUAGGCCAAGUAAUUAGUUCAAGUUCCAUAAUAUACAUUAUCUAGCUUGCUCAGCCGAACUUUCAAACCCAAAGCAAACAUUGAUCGGUGCGGUAGGGAACGUCCAGUCCAGAACAAUUUAUCGCAAACCAACUACAAUAGGGAAAUUAAAUAAAAAGGUCGACGACGUAUAUAAGAUUGAUGAUCCGUAUUCACUCUAUUUCUUUAAUGAAAAUUCAUAUUAAUUAAUUUCAGGUAUAUGUUUUUCCCUCCUAAAGGACUCUAGCUAGCCAGGGAGACGUACAACAAAAAUAAAUACACGCCAAUGUGACUCUUAAUUAGGUUUGGAUGGAUGAUCUUCCUUAUUAAAACCUUCGUGUAGCAAGCUAGUAUAUUUAUAGAUUCAAAUAUAUAUAGUAGUGUACACAUAUAAAUUAAAAAGCUAGAGACGGUGCUGGUGACUCGAUGAACUUCUCAGUUGACACCGGUCCGGGUGCAGCCAGAAACUUCCCAGGAGUUGUCGGUCCAGGUGCCACAAUUCCUGAGCUUUUUAUCUCCGCCAUCCCGCGACGUGCAUUUUCUCCUUGUGCUUGGCACAAUUUUGGAAGAUACACCCCUGCCAAAAGGAUAAAAAUGAAAAAUAGAACUAGUAAACAUAAAAGCAAUGCUCGAAAUUUCGGCCGCCCGAAUAUUUGUAGACUUGAUUUAUGUAGAUUCCACUAGUGUGACAUAUAUAUAUAUUUAGAGCCUUGACAUAGUCGACUAGAUACAAUAUGUAACAAGCUAUUCUACGUAAAAUGAAUGAAAAUAUAGGCCAUAUAAAUCUAUAUAUAUAUAUAUAUAUAUAUAUAUAUAUAUAUAUAUAUAUAUAUAUACACAUAUAUAAAUAUAUAUAUAAGUAUACACAUAAAUUAAAAGGCUGGAGACAGUGCUGGUGACUCGAUGAACUUCUCGGUUGACACCGGUCCGGGUGCAGCCAGGAACUUCCCAGAAGUUGUCGGUCCAGGUGCCACAAUUCCUGAGCUUUUUAUCUCCGCCAUCCCGCGACGUGCAUUUUCUCCUUGUGCUUGGCACAAUUUUGGAAGAUACACCCCU